CAAAGAUACCCGGGUAGUCCACGCCCUAAACGAUGCGAACUGGAUGUUGGGUACAUUACGGUACUCAGUGUCGAAGCUAACGCGUUAAGUUCGCCGCCUGGGGAGUACGGUCGCAAGACUGAAACUCAAAGGAAUUGACGGGGGCCCGCACAAGCGGUGGAGUAUGUGGUUUAAUUCGAUGCAACGCGAAGAACCUUACCUGGCCUUGACAUCUGUCGAAUCCUGCAGAGAUGCGGGAGUGCCGCAAGGAACGACAAGACAGGUGCUGCAUGGCUGUCGUCAGCUCGUGUCGUGAGAUGUUGGGUUAAGUCCCGCAACGAGCGCAACCCUUGUCCUUAGUUGCCAGCACGUAAUGGUGGGAACUCUAAGGAGACUGCCGGUGACAAACCGGAGGAAGGUGGGGAUGACGUCAAGUCCUCAUGGCCCUUACGGCCAGGGCUACACACGUGCUACAAUGGUCGGUACAGAGGGUUGCGAAGCCGCGAGGUGGAGCCAAUCCCAGAAAGCCGAUCCCAGUCCGGAUUGGAGUCUGCAACC
rnacentral:rRNA from 1 species